rnacentral:rRNA from 1 species
UACGUUCCCGGGCCUUGUACACACCGCCCGUCAAGCCAUGGAAGCUGGGGGUGCCUGAAGUCGGUGACCGCAAAGAGCUGCCUAGGGUAAAACUAGUAACUAGGGCU